rnacentral:rRNA from 1 species
UACGUAGGGUGCAAGCGUUGUCCGGAAUUAUUGGGCGUAAAGAGGCUCGUAGGCGGUUUGGUUGCGUCGGCUUGUGAAAUCCCGAUGGCUCAACCUCGGGAUCUGCAGUCGAUACGAGCAAACUAGAGUGUUGCAGGGGAGACUGGAAUUCCUGGUGUAGCGGUGAAAUGCGCAGAUAUCAGGAGGAACACCGGUGGCGAAGGCGGGUCUCUGGGCAACAACUGACGCUGAGGAGCGGAAAGCGUGGGGGAGCGAACAGG